rnacentral:tRNA from 1 species
UGUGGCUCAGUGGUAGAGUGCUUGCCUAGCAUGCAUGAGGCCUGGGUUCAUCCCCAGCA